rnacentral:tRNA from 1 species
GAAGAAGUGUCUGAGUGGUCUAAAGAGCUCGAUUGCUAAUCGAGUGUGUUAUAAUAAACACCGAGGGUUCGAAUCCCUUCUUCUUCG